CGGCAAAAGCUCAAAUUUGAAAUCUGGCUCUUUCAGAGUCCGAGUUGUAAUUUGUAGAGGAUAUUUCGGACACCGCCCCAGGUUAAAUUUCUUGGAACAGAAUGUCAUAGAGGGUGAGAACCCCGUCUUGACCUGGUGGUAGGGUCCAUGUGAAAUUCCUUCGAC
rnacentral:rRNA from 1 species